rnacentral:rRNA from 1 species
UACGUAGGGUGCAAGCGUUGUCCGGAAUUAUUGGGCGUAAAGAGCUUGUAGGCGGUUUGUCGCGUCUGCUGUGAAAUUUCGGGGCUCAACCCCGAACUUGCAGUGGGUACGGGCAGACUAGAGUGUGGUAGGGGAGACUGGAAUUCCUGGUGUAGCGGUGAAAUGCGCAGAUAUCAGGAGGAACACCGAUGGCGAAGGCAGGUCUCUGGGCCAUAACUGACGCUGAGAAGCGAAAGCAUGGGGAGCGAACGGGG